rnacentral:rRNA from 1 species
CCUUUCCUACGGGGGGCAGCAGUGAGGAAUAUUGGUCAAUGGACGGGAGACUGAACCAGCCAAGCCGCGUGAGGGAUGAAGGUACAGAGUAUCGUAAACCUCUUUUGUCAGGGAACAAAGGCGGGGACGUGUCCCCGGAUGAGUGUACCUGAAGAAAAAGCAUCGGCUAACUCCGUGCCAGCAGCUGCGGUAAUACGGAGGAUGCGAGCGUUAUCCGGAUUUAUUGGGUUUAAAGGGUGCGUAGGCGGAAUAUCAAGUCAGCGGUAAAAAUUCGGGGCUCAACCCCGUCGUGCCGUUGAAACUGG